UGAUCACUCCAAAGAGGUUGGGAAAAGAGGUGAAUCAGGUAUCCCAGGACUAGCCCAUACAUAGGUAUCAUUCUGCCAUCUUUUUCUUUGUCUUAGGAUUCCCAACCAGGGAGAGCCACAGCGAGUGAGAGGGGAGAUUCUUCCUCUCGUGGAGGCCUUGGCCACCCUUCCAGGCUCAGAGUCUCCCAAGACCCUCCAGGACACAGCCCAACCCUGCCUCAGGUUACCAUGAGGGGGAAGAUGAUGGCUGCAGGGGUAGACUUGAUUAUCCAAAGCAGCCCCAGACAGGCAAGCUGGAUGGCUGUGAAGAGGUGGACCCUGGUCAGAGGCACAUGCCGCAAGAGUAGCAGGUCUGGCUGGUGUUUUGCUGGCAUCAACAACAGCUUCACCCUCUUAGUGAACUAGGGGAACAAGAGGAAGAGGAAAGCAGGGCACUCAGGUGAUUUUAAUGGGCUCACCUGAAUGCUGCUGAGCGCUGCCACCCCCAUAUACAGGAAGAUGCCAUAGAGCACAGGCAUUGGAAUGAACUGGUAGAAAGAAGCAGAGAGUUAUCAAAGUUUACCUCUGCCAACCUCCCAGAUGCCCCAGGAUGCCCAGAUGCCCUAGAUCCCUCUAGCAUCUAGCAUCCAGGUCUGCCCAGGCCUUGCCUUUCCUUUCACACGUUUCAUGCCG
rnacentral:lncRNA from 1 species